rnacentral:rRNA from 1 species
GACGAACGCUGGCGGCGUGCCUAAUACAUGCAAGUAGGACGCAGUUGCGAACGGGUGAGUAACGCGUAGGUAACUGCCUCUUAGCGGGGGAUAACUAUUGGUAACGAUAGCUAAUACCGCAUACUAGUAGAUGGACCUGCGGUGUAUUAGCUAGUAGGUAGGGUAAUGGCCUACCUAGGCGACGAUACAUAGCCGACCUGAGAGGUGGAUCGGCCAAACUGGGACAGAGGAACGGCCCAGACUCCUGAGGGAGGCAGCAGUAGGGAAUCUUCCGCAAUGGGGGGAACCCUGACCGAGCAACGCCGCGUGAGUGAAGAAGGGUUUCGGAUCGUAAAGCUCUGUUGUUAAGGAAGCGGUACUUAACCAGAAAGGGACGGCUAACUACGUGCCAGCAGCCGCGGUAAUUC